AGAGUUUGAUCAUGGCUCAGGACGAACGCUGGCGGCGUGCCUAACACAUGCAAGUUGAGCGACGAACCAGGGCUUGCCCUGGGGCAAAGCAGCGAACGGGUGAGUAACACGUGAGUAACCUACCCCGAUGACCGGGACAACUCGAGGAAACUCGAGCUAAUACCGGAUGUGAUGUACACGCAUAAGUGUGUCCAUCAAAGGAAGCUUCGGCCUCCGCAUCGGGAUGGGCUCGCGGCCCAUUAGCUUGUUGGUGAGGUAACGGCUCACCAAGGCUUCGAUGGGUAGCUGGUCUGAGAGGACGAUCAGCCACACUGGGACUGAGACACGGCCCAGACUCCUACGGGAGGCAGCAGUGGGGAAUCUUGCGCAAUGCGCGAAAGCGUGACGCAGCAACGCCGCGUGAGGGAAGACGGCCUUCGGGUUGUAAACCUCUUUCAGGAGGGACGAAGGUUCGCCGGCGAAUAGCCUGGCGGAUUGACGGUACCUCCAGAAGAAGCCCCGGCUAACUACGUGCCAGCAGCCGCGGUAAUACGUAGGGGGCAAGCGUUGUCCGGAAUCAUUGGGCGUAAAGCGCGCGUAGGCGGCCCGGUAAGUCCGUUGUGAAAGUCAAAGGCUCAACCUUUGAAUGCCGAUGGAUACUGCCGGGCUGGAGUCCGGAAGAGGCGAGUGGAAUUCCUGGUGUAGCGGUGGAAUGCGCAGAUAUCAGGAGGAACACCAAUAGCGAAGGCAGCUCGCUGGGACGGUACUGACGCUGAGGCGCGAAAGCGUGGGGAGCGAACAGGAUUAGAUACCCUCGUAGUCC
rnacentral:rRNA from 1 species